rnacentral:rRNA from 1 species
GAUGAACGCUAGCGGCAGGCCUAACACAUGCAAGUCGAACGGUAACAGAAGGAGCUUGCUCUUUGCUGACGAGUGGCGAACGGGUGCGUAACGCGUAUGCAACCUACCUCUAACUAGGGAAUAGCCUUUAGAAAUGAAGAUUAAUACCCUAUAACAAUACAAAUUCGCAUGUUUUUGUAUUUAAAACUCCGGUGGUUAGAGAUGGGCAUGCGUGACAUUAGCUAGUUGGUGAGGUAAUAGCUCACCAAGGCUACGAUGUCUAGGGGGCCUGAGAGGGUUGUCCCCCACACUGGUACUGAGACACGGACCAGACUCCUACGGGAGGCAGCAGUGAGGAAUAUUGCGCAAUGGACGAAAGUCUGACGCAGCCAUGCCGCGUGAAGGAUUGAAGGCCCUAGAGGUUGUAAACUUCUUUUAUAUAGGAAGAAACCCCCUUACGUGUAAGGGGCUGACGGUACUAUACGAAUAAGCACCGGCUAACUCCG